UGGGGAAUAUUGCACAAUGGGCGCAAGCCUGAUGCAGCCAUGCCGCGUGUAUGAAGAAGGCCUUCGGGUUGUAAAGUACUUUCAGAGGGGAGGAAGGCGAUGUGGUUAAUAACCGCGUCGAUUGACGUUACCCGCAGAAGAAGCACCGGCUAACUCCGUGCCAGCAGCCGCGGUAAUACGGAGGGUGCAAGCGUUAAACGGAAUUACUGGGCGUAAAGCGCACGCAGGCGGUCUGUCAAGUCGGAUGUGAAAUCCCCGGGCUCAACCUGGGAACUGCAUCCGAAACUGGCAGGCUUGAGUCUCGUAGAGGGGGGUAGAAUUCCAGGUGUAGCGGUGAAAUGCGUAGAGAUCUGGAGGAAUACCGGUGGCGAAGGCGGCCCCCUGGACGAAGACUGACGCUCAGGUGCGAAAGCGUGGGGAGCAAACA
rnacentral:rRNA from 1 species